UUGUAUAAAUGUCUAUUCUGCACAAGGUACAGACAAGUCUGGUGGGAUCCAUGCCUGGUUCAUUUUAAUAAACGUGAACUUGUCCAUGUUGGCCAUGGACAGGCGGUUGCGCUUGCCUGUGAUAACCUCGUGCAGAUUACACGCCCUGUGACGGCAACAACGCAUUCGGAUGUCUGCCCUAUCAACUUUCGAUGCAAUUUUCCGUGCCUACCAUGAUGACCAUGGGUAAUGGGGAAUCAGGGUUCGAUUCCAGAGAGGGAGCCUGAGAAAUGGCUACCACACGCAAGGAAGGCAGCAGGUGUGCAAAUUACCCACUCCCGAUGUGGGGAGGUAGGGACGACAAAUAACAAUACACUACUCUUUCGAGGCCCUGUAAUUGUGCACUUUAAAUCUUUUAACUUGGAUCAAUUGGAGGUGCAGAGCGACUGACCCGUGCGUGCUGCAGCUGAAACUCCGCUA